GACGAACGCUGGCGGCGCGCCUAAAACAUGCAAGUCGAACGAGAAGCCCGGGCUUGCCCGGGUGGACAGUGGCGAACGGGUGAGUAACACGUGAGGAACCUGCCCCGAAGACCGGGACAACACCGGGAAACCGGUGCUAAUACCGGAUACCUUCGCCGGAUCGCAUGGUCUGGUGAAGAAAUGGAUUCCGCUUCGGGAUGGCCUCGCGCCCUAUCAGCUUGUUGGUGAGGUAACGGCUCACCAAGGCGACGACGGGUAGCUGGUCUGAGAGGAUGUCCAGCCACACUGGGACUGAGACACGGCCCAGACUCCUACGGGAGGCAGCAGUUAGGAAUUUUGCGCAAUGGACGAAAGUCUGACGCAGCGACGCCGCGUGCGGGAUGAGGGCCCUCGGGUUGUAAACCGCUUUCAGCAGGGACGAAAUUGACGGUACCUGCAGAAGAAGCCCCGGCCAACUACGUGCCAGCCGCCGCAGUAA
rnacentral:rRNA from 1 species